rnacentral:rRNA from 1 species
GGCGUAAAGGGCUCGCAGGCGGUUUCUUAAGUCUGAUGUGAAAGCCCCCGGCUCAACCGGGGAGGGUCAUUGGAAACUGGGAAACUUGAGUGCAGAAGAGGAGAGUGGAAUUCCACGUGUAGCGGUGAAAUGCGUAGAGAUGUGGAGGAACACCAGUGGCGAAGGCGACUCUCUGGUCUGUAACUGACGCUGAGGAGCGAAAGCGUGGGGAGCGAACAGGAUUAGAUACCCUGGUAGUCCACGCCGUAAACGAUGAGUGCUAAGUGUUAGGGGGUUUCCGCCCCUUAGUGCUGCAGCUAACGCAUUAAGCACUCCGCCUGGGGAGUACGGUCGCAAGACUGAAACUCAAAGGAAUUGACGGGGGCCCGCACAAGCGGUGGAGCAUGUGGUUUAAUUCGAAGCAACGCGAAGAACCUUACCAGGUCUUGACAUCCUCUGACAACCCUAGAGAUAGGGCUUUCCCUUCGGGGACAGAGUGACAGGUGGUGCAUGGUUGUCGUCAGCUCGUGUCGUGAGAUGUUGGGUUAAGUCCCGCAACGAGCGCAACCCUUGAUCUUAGUUGCCAGCAUUCAGUUGGGCACUCUAAGGUGACUGCCGGUGACAAACCGGAGGAAGGUGGGGAUGACGUCAAAUCAUCAUGCGGCUUAUGACCUGGGCUACACACGUGCUACAAUGGACAGAAC